rnacentral:rRNA from 1 species
UAAUACUCCAUAGAUUAGAGACACUGGAAUGUUCUUUAGUCGAAAGUUCUGGCGCCUUAGGAUGGAUCUGCGGUCGAUUAGGUUGUUGUUGGGGUAACGGCCCAACAAGCCUGUAAUCGAUACGGGUUGUGGGAGCAAGAGCCCGGAGAUGGAAUCUGAAACACGAUUCCAGGCCCUACGGGGCGCAGCAGGCGCGAAAACUUUACAAUGCAGGAAACUGUGAUAAGGGAACUCCGAGUGCCCGUAUACGCGGGCUGUCCAGGUGUUUAAAAAUCAUCUGAAGAAAGGGCCGGGCAAGACCGGUGCCAGCCGCCGCGGUAAUACCGGCGGCUCGAGUGGUGGCCACUAUUAUUGGGCUUAAAGCGUCCGUAGCUGGACCGAUAAGUCUCUUGGGAAAUCCGCCGGCUCAACCGGCGGGCGUCUAAGGGAUACUGUUAGUCUAGGGACCGGGAGAGGUGAGAGGUACUCCGGGGGUAGGAGUGAAAUCCUGUAAUCCCCGGGGGACCACCGAUGGCGAAGGCAUCUCACCAGAACGGCUCCGACAGUGAGGGACGAAAGCUGGGGGAGCGAACCGGAUUAGAUACCCGGGUAGUCCCAGCCGUAAACUAUGCGCGUUAGGUGU